UAGCUUAGUUGGUAAAGCGCUCGUCUAGCAUACAAGAGUCCUGAGUUCGAAUCCCAG
rnacentral:tRNA from 1 species